rnacentral:rRNA from 1 species
GAUGAACGCUAGCGGCAGGCCUAACACAUGCAAGUCGAGGGGCAUCGCGGUGCAGCAAUGCACUGGCGGCGACCGGCGUACGGGUGCGUAACGCGUAUGCAACCUGCCCCGCACCGGGGGAUAGCCCGCCGAAAGGCGGAUUAAUACCCCAUGGUCCCGGGUGUCCGCAUGGGCAUCCGGGUAAAGCCUUGGCGGUGCGGGAUGGGCAUGCGUGCCAUUAGCUGGCUGGUGGGGUAACGGCCCACCAGGGCAACGAUGGCUAGGGGGUCUGAGAGGAUGGUCCCCCACACUGGUACUGAGACACGGACCAGACUCCUACGGGAGGCAGCAGUGAGGAAUAUUGCACAAUGGGCGCAAGCCUGAUGCAGCAACGCCGCGUGAGGGACGACGGCCUUGGGUUGUAAACCGUCUUUAGUCAGGGAAGAAGCGAAAGUGACGGUACCUGCAGAAAAGACGCCGGCUAACUACGUGCCAGCAGCCGCGGUAAUCGAU